rnacentral:lncRNA from 1 species
UAGGGUCUUACUAUGUUUCCCAGGCUGGACUCUAACUCCUGGGCUCAAGUGGUCCUCCCACCUCAGCCUCCUGAGUAGCUGGGACUGUAGAUGCAUGCCGCCAUGACCUGCCAAAAUCAUAUUUUUGAAGGUUAUUUCCUUCCAAUCCCAUCCCAAAUGGAGGUUGCAGCAGGGUAGAGUUUUUGGACAAUCUUGUUUACUGCUGCAUCCCCAGUGUCAAGAAGGCUGCCUGAACAUAGAAAGUCUUCAAUAUAUAUUUGCUGAAAUAAAAGUAAAAAUUCAGUCUGGUGUCUCCAUAAUCACAGCCAUGGCCUUGUAAACAGGUAGUGAUGCGGACAGAGCCAUCUGUGCUGCGCUGCAGACCCACACAGAGGUCUACUGGAAGGGAGGAGCCCGAGGCGAGUCCACUGAAUGUGGGCACUUCCCAUUUUGGAUGCUGCAGAGAGUCUCCAGCAGCAAGAAGGCAAUCACAAGAUGCAGCCUCACAGCCUUGGACUUACCAGCCUC